CAGAAAAUAAUAUAGUUUAAGUAUGCAAAUUUUGGAGAUUUGUAGGGAUAAUUUUCUUUUCUGA
rnacentral:tRNA from 1 species